UUACCUGAUGAGCACCAAUUAUUCGCUGUGUUCUUUCUGAAUACAUAUUGAAGAUAAAAAAUUAUAUUCACCUUGGAGAACUGAUCU
rfam:Penicillium subrubescens strain CBS 132785 PENSTBscaffold_639, whole genome shotgun sequence.